GUUCUUAUUGGUCUCUUCUUUGGAUGAGCUUUCUGAACACAGUCUGAAGCUUCCAAGAAGAAAAUUCCAUACUCUACUACUGACUUGCUUUCCGGUGUUCUGGUGAGAGAAAAUUUAGAAGCCAAGUUGUGCUAUAGGACAUAGGUAAACCUGCUUAUCUCAUUUAACUUAUGUUCUUGGAAACUAUCCUAAUAUCCUCCUGAUGCUUCCUAUUAUGUUUACACAUACCACUCUAUGGCAACGUGAAGAUAUACUAUGCCAAGGAGCUAAAAAAGGCGCUUGUUUUAUGAGUGCUCAGGCUCUGGUCUGACUUGUGCGGGCAAAGUUGAAAAAUGGUCGUAUGAGCCGAGUCACAAGGAACAAAGGAGUUCUUCAGUGAACUGAGGGAGCAUUUGACAUGUAUCGUGUAUGUGUACACGCACAUUUAGAUGGAAUGUGCUUAUGUUCCAGGGAAACAUUGUUUGUGCUUUAUUCGAUAUCAAAGAAAUAUUGGCAGGAUCCUACGCUUCCAUCAUUAGGGUUAAGCCAUAUUUACUGAAAUUUUUCUAGAGCUAUUCCCAUAGCCCAAACAAUGAAUUCUAGAAGCUAUGUAUUUUAGGCAAGAUCCGUCAGCGGCGAGGUACCCGAGUCUGAAGCAAUGCAGCAAACGUCCAAGUGAUUCUCCUGACCACGGCGGGGUACCCAGGUCCAAUGUGAUUAAGUGGUAGACACGGCAGUAGCAGAGUUGAUCAGCUCCAAGCAGCUUUGCAAUCGUAUACAUAUGUUCUCACCACAAUUAACUACACGUAGGCUCUGUCUCCCUCCUCUCCUGAGAAUUUGACAAAUGUUGUUAUCAAGGCAUUUUGUUCUUCUAAUCGAUUCUAGAUUAGAUAAACAUGUACUAUGUGUUUCAUAUGAACUGUUAAGAACCCAACAACACAUGGUUAUUUCAUCAAUCUUAUCAUCUUUUAGUUAAUGGAAUUAUCUAUUGAUUGUAGUAUUAAGUUUGCUUGUGUUUUCAGCUAAAAGAAAGGAAAAAAAGGAACAACAUACAUUUCUGCAUUGCUUCAUCCUUGCGGCUGAGAGAGGCAUGCGUUCUCCUGUGAAGAGUGCAUAAAUUGUUUUUAUUCGCUUGAUAUUUAUUUAUGCCAGCUAAUUUGCAGGUCUUACAAUUAAUACUAAUCUUUAGGCACAGGACCAGGACCACAUGGAUUGCAUCAUCUGGUUUAUGAAAUACUGAAUAAUGUUGUUGGUGAAGCUCAAGCAGGCUAUGCUACUGAGAUUAAUGCAGUCCUUCAUGAUGACAAUUCAGUUAGUGUAACUGACAACGGCCGUGGGGUAUGCAGUUCCUAAAACCUAUGAAAGACUUCCUGAAUGUUCAAUGCUUCUACAAAUAUUGUGGAAAAAGUAAUUGUUAUGUGUUCAGUUUUGUGCUGCUGCACGGUGUUUCAACACCCUGAACAUGGCGAUUUCGGGGCCUAUAGGAUGGUAGAUGCCUGGGCCCAUGGCUGCGAGCUCGGCCAUAUAGGCCCUUGAAAACUGACGGCGACACCUCUCUUCGGGCAGAAUGUUAUGCACAAGCACAAUGCCGCGACAAUUUUCAGAGUCAUAGACCCGCUGGGAAUUAGUGUUUGUGUUUUUGUUUUUAUGACGUCUGAACUUUAGCAGACAAUGUUCACUCACACAUGGCACAUGUGCUAAACCAGCCGGCUGUUCGUUGGAAAGUUAUACGAAAUCCGAAGCAAUCCAGCCUUCAAGUGUAUCACCCAUUAUAUCUCUACUCUGUUCUUCUUUGCUCUGCUUUUCAGGAAGAAGGUGGAUUGGUGGCCAUUUCCUGUAUGCAGAGGGGAUGGCAACGACUGUUCCUUGGUUGAAGGAUGCAAUGCAUCUCGCUGAAUUUCAAGCUGUACGUCAGUUAAGAAAGGAG
rnacentral:rRNA from 1 species